AUUCAUGUCUAAAUACCCUAAAGGCACCAGAUCUUGUCUAAUCUUGGAAGCUAAGGAGGGUCAACCCUGGUUAGUAUUUACAUGGGAGAUUGCCAAUGAAUACCAGAUGGCAUAGGCU
rnacentral:rRNA from 11 species